GGCCGCGUGGCCUAAUGGAUAAGGCAUCAGAUUCGGACUGAGGAUUGCAGGUUCGAGUCCUGUCGCGGUCG
rnacentral:tRNA from 1 species